rnacentral:rRNA from 1 species
CGCCCGGUAACAUUCCGAACCCGGAAGCUAAGCCUCUCAGCGCCGAUGGUACUGCCCUGGAGACGGGGUGGGAGAGUAGGACGCCGCCGGAC